ACCCACAAUUAGUAAAGGACUUUUAUUUUUGCGGGCCCACUUCCUGUGUUGCCCGAACGCUGCUAACUUAUUUAAAGCCACGCCUCCAGUGCGCAGUAAAAGAUCCUCACCUGUUCCACUGUGAUUGUGGCUUGCUGUUGGCGUCUUCCUCAGGAAUUCCUCAAAAAAUCUUUGAACAUAUUGAUUUGAUUGCUGGAAUCACUGGCAUUGUUUACCUGGACCGUCACCAGGAUUCUGUUAGUGCUGAUUGUGGCUAAGUACGCCCCACUCUCUUCAAACAGGUCGGGUUUUUUUUUCCACCUGUCGGAUUAGAUCCUCAUCUGGAUCGAAAGAUGGCGAGCUAGAAAUGGACUAUGGACUUUAUGAUUUGGAAAUCAAUUUAUUCUGAGUCAAUUCUCAUGUGUCUCAUUGUGUUAUUGUAAUUGUAUGUUUUUUUUAAUUCAAAUCACUUAAUAUAUAUUCACCAAAACUAAAAGCACUGCCUCCUGUUUUUUUCACACCUCAGGCUCCUUAAAAGGCCACUCUUCCGAUGCUGCUUAUGUAGCCGCAGUUAGCUGCCUAGCCCAUAACUGUUACAAAUACAUUUACAAAUGAAACUAGACUAAAAUACUUGGUGAGAUUUUGUGUCUUUGCAGUGUUCGCUGCAGCAUCAUCUUCCUGUAGAAACACUUACAGAUCUUUUCCUGUUUCAAAAGCCCUGGUGGAUUCAUAUACAGGAAAAGAUAAAACAUUUUUAAAAAGUCCAGAUUUCCUUUGAGAUUUUAGAAACAUCUAUUCUGCCUUUUUUCACCACAGUCGUAAACUGAAAUACUUAAAACAUUUCCAGUAUUUAAAGAGAAUAUGAUUAUUCCCACCUGGAUUAUUUUGCCUGCGUUAUGCUAACAUGCCUCACUCCAUUGUAGCAUGUUUAUUUAUUUCUGAUGCCUGAAACUUUGCCAGCCUGCUGGGCCUCAAUCCAAACGUAAUUACAUCCAAUCAGAGCAGCCUGCUGUCUCCCAAGCUCUCAACAUUUCAAAACAAUCUAACAUUUUCAUGACUGCUGUGAGUUCAGGAAAGGAUCGUUCUACCCAAACACUGAAGCUGUGGAAUCUGAAAAAUGACGAAUGCAUAAAUCAGAAAGGCUUCCUGCUGUGCGUCAUGUCCAGGCUCUGCUCUGAAGCUCGUUUUAGACAUUUACAUCACUACGGUUGUUAAACCUUCUCCUGAACUGGAGCUCCCGUGAUACGAUCCCGACCCAAAUCCUCUCAGUCACACUGCAACUCUGAAGGGUUUCCUGGAAAUGUUUUCAGACUGAACCUAACAUAAAGUAGAUUCAGUGUUGCAGCUGCUCUUGAACGUUACAUUUCAUUUUUUAACAAGAAAAUACAAACAUGAACACUAAAAUAUUCCCCUGCAAAUCAUCAUAUAGCAGUAAUUCUAGACAAUCGUUUCAUUUCUUUGUUAAAAAUUAAGAAAAUAAUUUGCAAUUUUU